UCAUCCUUAAGCUUCUCUCUCUAAAACCUACGAAUUAUUGUAGCAUAUCAGUCCCUAAACAAAGCCCAACCAUCACAAACAACAAAUCAGAAGCAUCAAGAAGCCAGAAAUCAAAAAUCAAGCUUGAAAAGGUAGGAAAUCCUAAAUUCUAGAAAUCCUUCGAUUCGAUGUUAAUUGAUGCAAUUGAUUGUUUAAAGUAGUGUAAUAGAGAGUCUAUUAAUGUUCUGGGUUGUAAAAUCAUGAACCCAUAACAUCAAAGUGCACGAAUUUGAAGAUUUAAACAAGUUGGAAAAACCGAAUUCUGUUAUUUUUCACCAAAUGUCAGAGGCUAUAACUCUUUGGUCGAUCACGAGUUUUGUUGUUUAAAAGUUGUUAUAGGUAGCCUGAUAUGUGGUCUUUAAACUCCAAAAGGAAUCAGGUCUAUAUCUAUUGUAGAUCGGGAUUUAUAAGCGGUCAAAGUGGGUUGACCGGCAUUGACCGGCUGUUUUUCAAACCCAGAAAAUAUUCUAAGUGUCCAGAAAUUUUUUUUUGGCAAAUGUCAGGCCUUAUAUCUCGGUCAUCUUUAAUGUGUUUUGUGUUCUAAAGGUUGAUAUGUGUAGCUUGUUAUGUGGUAUUUAACCUCCAAAAAGAAUCAGGUCCAUAUAUAUUACGGAUUAAGAGUUAUUUAAGGUCAAAGUGGGUUGACCGGCAUUGACCAGAAAAUUCUGGGCAGCCCAGAAUUUUCUAAGUGUUAAUUUUUCUGACAAGGUUUGACCAUACUUUAGAUGCUUGAUUUCUUGUUGUUAUGAUGAUGUUAAGUGUUAGAGUUGUAGUCCUACAUGUUGUCUACACACUGGAAUUGAUAGAUCACAUAAACGUUACACGAUCAUCAAGUUAUAGAGGUCCAAAGUAGGCACCUCGAACUGUUCUUCGUGAAGAACAGCUUUGGUAGCUACUUUGAUGGCUGAUUUAUCCCAGAUCUGAUGUUUGUUUAGAGGUUAUGAUUGUUGGAUCUUGUAGUCUUGUAUUUCCUCUACAAGACCCAAUUUAUAGAUUGUCCAAAUUCGUUAAGAUGAGAGAGUUAUUCACGGUCAAAGUAGGCCACUCGGUUCUGCCUUAUGAAGAUCUGGGUAGGCUCAAGAACACCUAUAGCGACGGUUCUGUCACUAUAGGGGCCUUUAGCGACAGUUUUAAUUAUUUUAAUUUCUGAUUUUCCGGAAAUUAAUUUAAAAAUUAGAAAAAUUAGUUUUUAAUUAUUAAAAAUACCAAAUAAAUUAUGAAAAAUUAUUUUAAAGUCUGAAAAAUAGUUUUUAAUUAUUUUGAGUAUAUUUCAUAAAUAUUUAAUAUUUUUGGAAUAUAAAAGGUAUUUAUUUAUUUAAUUAUAAUAUUAAAUAAAUGAUUUAAAAAUAGUUUUAAUUCAUGAAAAAUCAUGAAAAAUUAUAUUAUGGUAUAAGAAAAUAUUUUAAGUUAUUUUCCAUGACUUUUAAUAUUUUGUGAUGAAUUUCAUUAAUUAAUUAAUAUUAAUGAUAUUAAAGUUAUUUAUUGAUUAUAUUAAAUAAUUAGUUUAAAAAUGAUUUUAAUAUUUUAAAAAUCAUUUUAAAUGAAAAUAAAGUAUUUAAAGAUAUUUUGAGUUAUAAAAUAUAACUUUUAAUAUUUAGAAGAUAAUUUCAUUAAUAAUUAUAUAUUAAUGAUAUUUAGUUAAUGAUUUGUGAUAUUAAGUUUAUUUAAUAUUUAUAUUAAAUAAAUAGUUUAAAAAUGGUUUUAUUUAUUUAAAAAUCAUUUAAAGAGGAUAUUAAGGAUUUAAAAAUAUUUUAAGUUAUAAUUAAUGACUUUUAAUAUUUGGAUAAAUAGUACAUUAAUAUUUAAAUAUUAAUGGUAAUUAUUUAAAAAUGAUUUUAAUUAUUUUAAAAAUCAUUUAAGGGUAAUAUAAAUGUUUUAAAAAUAGUUUGAGUUAUUAUAAAUAACUUUUAUAUUUUGGCAAUGGCUUCAUUAAUAGUUUAAUAUUAAUUAAAUAUUAAUGAUAAUAGAAUUGUUUGAUGUUUGGAAAAUUUGAAAAUGAUUAAAAUGUCUAAAAAUGCAUGAUAAAUUAUUAUAAAUGCUUUAAAAUUAUUUUAAGUCAUUUAAAAAUAAAAUGACUGAUGUUGAGAUACAGAAUAAGAGUCUUAGACUCAGUAAUUACCCGAUAAAGCUGUCGGUACGCCGAUAAAUGUCAGACCCUAUAAUAGAAAGAAAAGGCUACUAUAAGAACAUGGAUGAGAUAUUUGAAAAAUGUAUAAAAAUAUUUCAAGUAUAGAAUAUGAACUAAAAGUAUGAUCACUGCGAUUAUGUGAUGACGUGAUUAGACUAUGUGCUGACUGUAAUAGACAGUACUAUGUGUUAUGAUAUAUUGUUCUAAUCGAACGAAUGAUCUGAUUAUUGAUAGGUUGUGAUAAAGAGAUAAAACCUAAGUUGAGAUUUGUAAUCAACAAAUCAGGCAAGAAAUGGUAUCGUGGAGAACCGAGUUCGGGUUUCAAGUAUCCGGAUUUGGGGUCGCCACAGUUCAAAUAAUAGAGCAAGAAUCAAUUGCAUUACGUGCGAAUUACAACAAUAAUUAUAGAUGUUAAUAACUAUCAAUAAUUAUUCACUACCAUGCUUGAAAAAUAGUAACUCAAGUUGAGUUAGGAAACUUGCCUUUCGCGUUGAUUACUGCUACACAAU
rnacentral:lncRNA from 1 species